ensembl:snRNA U6 U6 spliceosomal RNA
GGGCUCACCUCAGCAGCACAUAUACUUAAAUUGGAACAGUACAGAGGAGAUCAGCUUGGCCCUUGAACAAGGAUGACGUGCAAAUUUGUGAAGCAUUCCAUAUAAUA